rnacentral:lncRNA from 1 species
CUCAGUAAUAAAUUGGUUGGGUUCACUCUUUUCCAACUUAUCUCACAAAUUGACGUUGAUCUAUUUUUCAUGUAUCACUCUUGCUAAAUUGUAAAAUUCCAUAAAACUUUGUUGUGAUUUUUUUAAUAUUAACAAAAGAGGAAAAAAUUCCAUCUUACUGCAACUCAUCUCGAGCAAAAUCCUUUACCUAAAAGAAUAAAAAUGAAAAAAGAUCUAUGACUUGCUUAAAUAGUUGGAAAAUGUGUACUCUGCUUCCCCUCAAACAUUUAUCAGUGUUUCAUAAUUAGGAAUAUAUUAUUUUAUCUAAAUUUUGCAAUUUCUGUAUUUUUUUUUUUUUUAAUUAUUUUUUCCUUUCAAUUUUCAACUUUGGGUUGGCUUGAGCAUGGAAUGUUGAUAACUUGGGUACUAAUGAGUUUGGAUAAUAUUUCCGCUCUGACCUGGUAUCGUGUGGAGAAGUAAUAAACUGGCAUGCGAUCAAUACUUGACAAUUGUUUUUCUAUCAAUACUCUGAUUACAAGUUAAGUGACGUUUUAGAUUUCCUUAUCUCACUAUAUGUUGAUCCCUAAUACAGUAAUACUCUACAAUGGUUAUAUCUCAAUUGGAACUCUUUCAAGCCAGCAUUACUACUACUAUUACUACUAGAAUUGAUACCCUUGAAUUUUUAUUCAAUUCCUUGGCAUCUCUGAAAUGUUGACAAUAGUUUGUUAAACCUUGUUAACUACACUAUACUUGAAAUUAUCUGGUCAGUUGUUUUGUGCAAAAGCAUGAUAAUCAAAUGCAUCAUUUUGUUAUUAAAUGUGCGAUGUAUUGUUUGAAGCAACAGAUGAGAAGCACACUCACGAAAUAAUGAUAGCAUUUUCUUGCAUUGCUGGUGUAAGGAGCUAUUAUGAUGAGGGAAAAAGAGUUGCUGAAACUUUGAUGUUCGAUUAACGUAGGCGGCACGGAAUUGGUAAAAAUCCCUUUCUUUUGCUACAAAUCAUAUAGUUGUUAUUGGUUUUUGACAUCCAAUUCUCCAAUUGUGUCAAAAAUAUUGAAAACAUAUGAUGCAUUUCUUACAAGUUGAAAUGAUGACUCCACAACAGAAAUACGUUUUGCAUGGAUCUUCAACACCUAUGGACCCUGCAUGAAUAUUGAUGUUGGUCUAGUUGUCAGCAAUUUUAUAGCUUAAGCGAUUUGGUAUUAUUUUAUUGUCACGCUAUUAUCAUCUGCAUACCUUUGAUCUCAAUUGUUGGCCUUUGUUAUUUCUAGAGUCAAAGCCCACUUCUGAGAACAUUGCAAAUUGUGACCAAAUAAAACGAGAUUUCACCUUCUCAAUUCUCACACUAUUUCCUUUUUGCACAUGUAUGCAGUGAUGAGCCUUUUGACUGUCCGCUUGCUUGGAACACAAACAAGAAGCUUUUGUUACAUCUCUGACAUGGUACAAAAGAGUAUUAUAUCAUUUUGGUAAUUGAACCCUAUAAUACAUGUUACUAUCUUUGGUGGUCUUACUCUUAUUUCUUUUACAUGUGAAGGUCGAUGGUCUAAUUCUACUAAUGGAAGGCAAAAAAAGUACAAGGCCAAUCAACAUUGGCAAUCCAGGCUAUUAACAAAAAAUAUAGUUCUAAAAUGCUAAAAUCAAGUUCAUUAUAUCUCUUUGAGUAUAAAGCUUAUGCUGCUUGUUAGUUUCCUGGGAAAGGUAAAGUGUACUGUGCUUUCUUCGGAGCCAGUCGUGCCUCACAUAUUCAUGAAUUGGGCUUUCAAUAGUACGAUCUUUGGGCAUAUGUCCUCAAUUUCGCUUUGGGAGAUAGAGAUUACUGUCACUUGUGCAGCGAACCAAGCUUACCACUCAAAAAAGUCCUCUGUAAUGAAAGGAAUGACUAAAUGCCAAAGGGUGAUCCCCCCUUUCCAUUGAAGAGCACGAACACGAAAGUCUCAUGAACUUCUUAUUGGGACAGUAGCUUCAAUGGCUCGAUAUAAAGACGGUUUGGCUGUUCUUUUGUAUUGAAAGGGUAUAGAAAUUCUAGGAUCCUGCUUUUGGUUUGGAAACAAAUAAUGUUAGGAUAACUGGCUCAUGGUUAUACUAAAAGGCAAAUUUAUAAUGUUUUGAGUUUGUUGAGACUGAAGGAGGCAAUUUCCAAAAUUGUGCAUCGAUACAAAUUUCUUUUCCUCUCUCUUGUUCUUUUUCAAGUAUGAUAUGGAACAAAAUGGUUUGUGUCUGUACAGAUGAUUAACCCAAAAGUGAAAAUCAUUACGGUGAAGAAUAUUCUAGAUGAUCCUUUCCAGAGAAAACCUGAUAUAACCAAAGGCAAAGGAGUGUCUUGGCUAGGAACCAAAGGUCAAGUUGCAUGAUGGCCUUCCCCUUCCGCAAGAGGAAUGGAAUCCGGAGGAAGUGAUUUACUCUCUAAAUCUUAUUUAAUGUUAAUGAAAAAGCAUUUUUUGUUAAUAACUUUGCUGAUUUACCUUUAUUUAAUUAUCAACAACUAGUAGUAAAUUACUAUUGGAAAUAGUAAAGAAAUUGAACAGGAGCGGACCCAGACCGUUCG